CCUACGGGAGGCAGCAGUGGGGAAUUAUGCGCAAUGGGCGAAAGCCUGACGCAGCGACGCCGCGUGAGGGAUGAAGGUCUUCGGAUCGUAAACCUCUGUCAGCAGGGAAGCACGGUCACUGUGCUGAUCAGCAGUGAAUAGACGGUACCUGCAAAGGAAGAACCGGCUAACUCCGUGCCAGGAGCCGCGGUAAUACGGAGGGUGCGAGCGUUAAUCGGAAUUACUGGGCGUAAAGCGCUCGUAGGCGGUAUGUCAAGUCAAGGGUGAAAUCCCCGCGCUCAACGUGGGAACUGCCUUUGAAACUGGCAAACUGGAGUGUGUGAGAGGAUAGUGGAAUUCCAGGUGUAGGAGUGAAAUCCGUAGAUAUCUGGAGGAACAUCAGUGGCGAAGGCGACUAUCUGGCACAUAACUGACGCUGAGGAGCGAAAGCGUGGGUAGCAAACAGGAUUAGAUACCCGAGUAGUC
rnacentral:rRNA from 1 species